CGGCGGACGGGUGAGUAACACGUGGAUAACCUACCUAUAAGACUGGGAUAACUUCGGGAAACCGGAGCUAAUACCGGAUAAUAUAUUGAACCGCAUGGUUCAAUAGUGAAAGACGGUUUUGCUGUCACUUAUAGAUGAUCCGCGCCGCAUUAGCUAGUUGGUAAGGUAACGGCUUACCAAGGCAACGAUGCGUAGCCGACCUGAGAGGGUGAUCGGCCACACUGGAACUGAGACACGGUCCAGACUCCUACGGGAGGCAGCAGCC
rnacentral:rRNA from 1 species